CCGAGUCCAACCCCGAUGGUUCUAAUGAUUUUAUUGCUCAGUGGCAAAAUAAAUCGAAGCAACAAUAAUCCCAAAGUCACAUUUAAACAUGUCAGUGACUGCUAGGAAGCAGAGGGGAUGGAAUGAAAAUGGAGACUCUUCCCUACUUCCCAUUCCCAGCCUCACCUGCUUUGGGAAAAAAACCCACCCCAACUGAAAGGGCUGUCCGAUCCCAAUACAUAAGGGCUCCUUCCUUGUCCCCACUCCCGCUUCUCCUUGCUGCUGCUGGACUCUGUGUCUUGGACCUUGCCCUGCCACUUCGGAGCCACUGGAA
ensembl:antisense Gm43236 predicted gene 43236